rnacentral:rRNA from 1 species
CCUGCGGAAGGAUCAUUACCGAGUGCGGGUCCUUUGGGCCCAACCUCCCAUCCGUGUCUAUUGUACCCUGUUGCUUCGGCGGGCCCGCCGCUUGUCGGCCGCCGGGGGGGCGCCUCUGCCCCCCGGGCCCGUGCCCGCCGGAGACCCCAACACGAACACUGUCUGAAAGCGUGCAGUCUGAGUUGAUUGAAUGCAAUCAGUUAAAACUUUCAACAAUGGAUCUCUUGGUUCCGGCAUCGAUGAAGAACGCAGCGAAAUGCGAUAACUAAUGUGAAUUGCAGAAUUCAGUGAAUCAUCGAGUCUUUGAACGCACAUUGCGCCCCCUGGUAUUCCGGGGGGCAUGCCUGUCCGAGCGUCAUUGCUGCCCUCAAGCCCGGCUUGUGUGUUGGGUCGCCGUCCCCCUCUCCGGGGGGACGGGCCCGAAAGGCAGCGGCGGCACCGCGUCCGAUCCUCGAGCGUAUGGGGCUUUGUCACAUGCUCUGUAGGAUUGGCCGGCGCCUGCCGACGUUUUCCAACCAUUCUUUCCAGGUUGACCUCGGAUCAGGUAGGGAUACCCGCUGAACUUAAGCAUAUCAA